GACUGGGAUAGCUCGGUAGAGCAUGAGACUCUUAAUCUCAGGGUUGCGGGUUCAAGCCCCACAUUGGACA